UACGGAGGGGGCUAGCGUUGUUCGGAAUUACUGGGCGUAAAGCGCACGUAGGCGGCUUUGUAAGUUAGAGGUGAAAGCCCCCGGCUCAACUGGGGAGGGUCACGCGAUACUGAUCGACUCGAAGGCAGGAGAGGGUAGUGGAAUUCCCGGUGUAGUGGUGAAAUGCGUAGAUAUCGGGAGGAACACCAGUGGCGAAGGCGACUACCUGGCCUGUUCUUGACGCUGAGGCGCGAAAGCUAGGGGAGCAAACGGG
rnacentral:rRNA from 1 species